CAAUAGCGUAUAUUUAAGUUGUUGCAGUUAAAAAGCUCGUAGUUGGAUUUCGGUUAAGAGCGACCGGUCCGCCGUUUGGUGUGCACUGGUUGGUUUUAACUUCCUGUAGAGGACGUGCUCUGGGUUUAACGACCUGGACUCGGAGUCUACGUGGUUACUUUGAAAAAAUUAGAGUGUUCAAAGCGGGCUUACGCUUGAAUAUUUCAGCAUGGAAUAACACUAUAGGACUCCUGUCCUAUUUCGUUGGUCUCGGGACGGGAGUAAUGAUUAAGAGGAACAGUUGGGGGCAUUCGUAUUUCAUUGUCAGAGGUGAAAUUCUUGGAUUUAUGAAAGACGAACUUCUGCGAAAGCAUUUGCCAAGGAUGUUUUCAUUGG
rnacentral:rRNA from 1 species